UCCAGGUUUCGCUUCAUAAAAGGGCACCAUGUCCAAAACAGCAAAUGGGAGCCACACCAGAAGGGCCGUGACGGACAGCAGCCAUUCCUGAUGGACCAGGAAAGCAGGCUGGGCUCUGAUCUGCCAUCACCGGUGCUGAGGAAGUUGUCACCAAGAAUAUACUCUUUUAAAAGCAGCACCAGGGCUGGGCUCAGAGCUGCGGAGCUCCCGGCCACCCACGUGCCCAGCCCCCUCCCUCCUCCAUCCCUGGAAGUUAGGCAGGCCAAGAGCUUUGUCCUCAUACUGAGGUGGAGAUGGAGGCUCCCAGAGGGGAAGCCACUUGCCCAGGGUCACACACAGGGAGGUGGCGGGUCACUGGGCUCUUGCCCUUGCCCGGGCUGCCUGCCUGGGUAUUAGGGACUCAUCCUUCCCAGGCCAGAGAGAGCACUGGCCUAGCUGGGGUGUUCUCUGGACUCUGGAGCAGGAAGAUGUGAUUCACAGAAACGAGGCCACCCGGCUCCUGCCACACCCACUGGGACAUAAAACGAGGCACAGAAGGGUCACCCCACACAGCCGCUGGAAUCCUGCUCUGAAUCACAAACCCAACCUUGUCGCUUUCCUGCCAGACACCUGCAAAUCUACGGCGCCGAAGAGCAAUUUCGAGGCGGUUGUGUGAAAAUGCCAAGGCUCAGAGAGGGGUAUUCACUUGCCCAGUGUCACACAGCAGCCGUAGGUGGAGCCAGGAAUCCGGAUCUGCUUGACUCUGCACCACUUUGUGAUCCUGCCUCUUCAGUUCUGCGGAUCUGAGACAAUGCAAUAAGGGGUAGGCUGCUCCCCCUUCCACUUUUAAUAAAAGGUUACUCUGAAUGAGGAUCCAGUGAGAGGGUCGCGGGGAAGCGCCAGUAAGGAGUCAGGCUUCCCUGUGACCUUGUCAGUAACAAAAAAGAGGAGGAGGGCAGGGCACCUCUGAAGGAGAAGAUGCCAUCCAGGAUGGACCUGACCCUUGCCUCGCAUCCUGCUCCACGCGUAGCGUCACAGUGGUCACUCAGCAAGACCUUUAGGAACAAAUGAGUGUUGCUGCUUGGCAUCUAAGAAGUGCCUAAUAACGUUGCCGUCACUACUUUCGCGGUCAUCAGAACCGUGCCCACUGAGAAGCAGACACCUGGUCACCUCUGCUAAAUGAACGGAUGGCUAUGCCCCCCACCCAUUCAAGCUCUGAACUGGUUUCCAUGCCCAGAGCCAGACUCCUCUCCCUCCUGCUGCUGCUCCUCGGGCUCACGGGGCUGGAAUGCUCCCCCAGACUUUUCAGCACAAAGGUGCAUGUGCAGCGUGGGGUGACGGAACAGUUCUGCCCUGGCCCGGAGGUCCCGGGGUGGGGGUUUCGGGAAAGGUCAGAUAUUAACACCUGUCAGCCCGUCCUCGCACACGGCUGCUCCUUGCUACAAUAAAGGCCGGUUUGGAAUGUGAA